AGGUAAAUGUUUCAUGAUAAGAAUUUCAUGUCUUUUGUAUUAAAGAAUUAAAUGGAUGAAAUAUGAAGUUUUAUUAAAAGAAAAAGGGGUGAAAAGAACAAAGUUUUGUCCAUCUUUGUUCAUCAUAGCUGAAAGUUAGAGAAGAGAAAGGAGAGGAGAAAGCUCUUGAGUAUUCGGUCAUUAAGAGGAGGAAAAUUGAAGGUAAUCCCCAACCAUAGUGGGCUUGGAGCUGUGAGGGAAUUCGGAGUGGCCACCCGUUCUGAAAGUUUGAUUUUCUUCUGGUGAACUGGACAUCCUUUUAAUUAUGUUUGAGGUUUUGGGCUUUUAAAUGUAAUAAGGCCGCUUAUUUAUUUUUGAUGGUUUUUAAUAUGUAUUACUAAGAUAGGUAAUACUUAUUUUAACUGUUGAAAUUGGAUAGCUUUAGGGCGCGUUUUCAAAAACAACAA